ensembl:lncRNA
AGAUCUGCUGUAUUGAGACGCCCUUUACUUGCUGCCAUGGUCUUUAGCUAUGAUACCAUAAAGUACAACAGUUCACUAUAUUUGCAUUAAUGAAGGUGACGUCUUUAUCAUCCAGUCCAUGUUCUUUCAACACGUCUUCAUUCUCAGCCUUCAGACUCUUCACAAUGUCAUUGAACAUCUGGACUGACAUCUGCUCAUGCUGCAGUACAGACAGAAAGAUCAUAGAGACAUAUAUGACCAGACGAGUCAAAGGAUGUCCUCAGGCGAACCAGGAAGAACCUGGUCAAAGUUUGCGGAGGAAGUAGAGACGCUGCUGUGAUUUCUUGGCCAGUGCUGCAGUGUUGUCGGUCCAGGAGAGGUCCUCUGUGAUGUGCACACCCAGGAACUUGGUGCUGCUCACUCUCUCCACAGUCGCACCGUUGAUGGUCAGAGGAACAUGCUGAGUGUGCGCUCUCCUGAAGUCAACAACAAUCUCCUUCGUCUUCUCCACGUUCAGAGAGAGAUUUUUGUCACUGCACUGUAGUUUGUCUCAUCUCUGUUGCUCAUGAGACCCACCACAGUCGUGU